rnacentral:rRNA from 1 species
GGGAUAUUGCACAAUGGAGGAAACUCUGAUGCAGCGACGCCGCGUGAGUGAAGAAGUAUUUCGGUAUGUAAAGCUCUAUCAGCUGGGAAUAAAAAAAUGAAGGUACCAGAGUAAGAAGCACCGGCUAAAUACGUGCCAGCAGCCGCGGUAAUACGUAUGGUGCAAGCGUUAUCCGGAUUUACUGGGUGUAAAGGGAGCGCAGGUGGCGCGGCAAGUCAGAAGUGAAAGCCCGGGGCUUAACCCCGGUAUUGCUUUUGAAACUACUGUGCUAGAGUGCAGGAGGGGUAAGCGGAAUUCCUAGUGUAGCGGUGAAAUGCGUAGAUAUUAGGAAGAACACCGGUGGCGAAGGCGGCUUACUGGACUGUAACUGACACUGAGGCUCGAAAGCGUGGGUAGCAAACA